rnacentral:lncRNA from 1 species
AAUCGUGUACGUUAAUUUUUAUGUAUGAUAAUAAACUUAUUGUAGAACAUUUUAAAGGAUGAAAUUGAGUGAAUAUCUUGUACUUCUUGUCUGUUUUCUGUUGUUCUAUAAACAUCCGGAGAACGUGGGGAUGUACCAGAAAAUGUACCAGAAAUAAACAAUGGUAGCAAAGAAUUCUUAAAGGUACUUCAGAAAAUUAUUAGGGAUAGAGUGGAAGAACUUAUUAAAAAGAUGAGCGAGGAACUAUUUCUGAAGCUAGAAAGAAAGAUUAAAAACGUAAGCGAAACCAAUAAUCAGAUUAAAGUCCUCUUACAUCAUAAAGCUCCUACACUAUUUCAAUAUACAAGUUUCAACACAUCUUUGAGUUUAGUUCAGAGCAAAGUGACGACAGAAUGUGACCAUUUGAUUAACAAUAGACAAACUAAAUUAAUGAAUGAGACCGAACACGAUAUCAUUCAAUUUGUAAGUAAAAUGCGGGAUUACGUUUCCAAAACUACGACUGAUAUACAGACGGGAGUGUUACGAAGAUACAAGGAAAUAUUAAGUGAUGUUAAUGCAAUUUAUGUUAGCACAACUGAGUUCUAGAGUAAAAAAUAUGCUCCAAAAUAUUUCAAACAUCGAAUUAGACGUGGAACAAGCGAUAGCUUUCUUUGCAACGCUUUCCGAAAAUGCUCCUCAAAACGGCGAGAUAAUUAUAUUCGACAACAUAACAACUAAUUUUGGAAAUGGAUACUCAGUCACAGAAGGAUUAUUUACUGCUCCUAUUGAUGGAUUGUAUACUAUUCAUUGCUCAUUUCUUGUAGUCAAUGGUUAUGUAAAUAUAAAACUCACGAGAAACGACAAUAAAAUUGGAAGAGGCUACGCAGCGGAAGGAAAACAUGAGAAUACUGGUUCCAUAUUUGUUACAACAUAUUCAAUAGAAGGCGACGAAGUAUAGUGCCAUAAACUCCCUGAUUACAGUACAGGAACAAUUUCGAGGAGAUUUAUACACCACUUUUUCUGGAUACAUUAUAAUAGGAAUUUCGUAAAAGCUUAGGCAUGCAUACCCCAUUUGACUGUUAAUCUGGCAAGAUAUCUAUACCAUGUGUGUGAUUGGAACAAUAUUAGUACGCAAUGACUAUGUCGAGAAUGCAAAUACUCUUUUUAUACCCAUUUCCAUUCAAGUUGUUUGCAUAAUAGUUUAUUGAAUUUGUUUGAAAUAUUCUAUUUAAUCAAAAAGUGUUAUAUGCAGAAAUAUAUUAUCAAAUAAUCGAGAUACAGCUAAAUUUAUAAACAAAAUAUUUGUUUCUACGACAGAAUGAAGUAAAGGUUUUAAGUAAUAUGUGGUAACGAAAUCUGUGAUUUAGUACUUUACCCGUAAUACAUAAAGAAAUUUCGCUAUUUGAAAUCCAAAACGCCAAUACAGACACGGGCAUAGCGAACAAGUUGGAAUACAUAAACACCACAGCGAUGCUAAAGGAAUAUCAUUGCCUAAAAAAGGAACCACAAAGUGGAAAGGGAUUAAUAUAAGUCGCAAAACUUGUUUCCCAAUCCACUAUAAAUAAAUAUGUUUAAACUAAAAGGAAAAUAAAUAAACUAACUUUGAGUAGCUGCACGUACUCUAAGAUAGGUACUUUGUGUCUUUUGUCUACGUUAAUUGUUUUAAUUAUGCUUCGUGCCGAUCUGAUGAAUCCAUCCAUUUUUUACAAUAGUUCUUAUACAUGCUUGUACACCAUUGUCUCAGGUUGAGGGAGGAUUGAGAGCUCUAAAACAUGUUUAACCCCGCCACAUACUGUAUGUUCUUGUAAUAAGUCAGGAGCCGGUUAUGCAGUGUGUGUCGUUAGUUGCUGUAUUUUAUAUCUUUUUUUCGAUUAUCGUUUGUUGUACAUUAGACUGUCGUUUUUGUAUCGUUUGAAUCGUUUCAUCUUUUGCCAAGUCGGGUCUUUUUAUAGCUGAAUGUAUACUAUAUUAGUUUUGCUCAUUGUUGAAGGCCGUUUGUUGGCACUACUAAAAUUAAUGUCAAAUUAUAACUUUGUUGGAUAGUUAUUACGAUAGCAAUUAUAUCCAUUAUCCUAAUUUUAUAUCAUUUACGAAAUGUCAGUGUCAGCAAUUAUAGGGCUUAUUCCAUCUUUUUAAAAAUAUGAUAGACAAUGAGAAAACUUUCCACCAAAGUUAUAAUAUUUUUUUUUUAAGUGGUUGUAAGCAAUCAUAGGCAACCUGUCAUAAGUAUAUGCCAAUGUUUCUUGGUUGUUUAUUUAAACUGCAUAUUUCAUUGUUUUUGUAAUUGAGAAAUGUCACAGUUCUAUGAGAAAAAUAUAGCGUUAAUAAGUUUUUCAUAAUAUAAACAUGUCGCUAUUCUAUUAGAAAAAAUAUCGCACUCAUAUAAGAUAUAAGAAAAUAUAGAAAUAAACAUUGGUAGCAAAGAAUUCUUAAAGGUACUUCAGAAAAUUAUAAGGGAGAGAGUGGAAGAACUUAUUGAAAAGAGGAGCGAGGAACUAUUUCUGAAGCUAGAAAGAAAGAUUAAAACCGUAAGCGAAACCAAUAAUCAGAUUAAAGACCUCUUGCAUCAACAAGCUCCUACACUUUUUCAAUAUACAAGUUUCAACACAUCUUUGAGUUUUGUUCAGAGCAAAGUGACGUCAGAAUGUGACAAUUUGAUUAACAAUAGAAAAACUAAAUUAAUAAAUGAGACCGAACACGAUAUUAUUCAAUUUGUAAAUAAAACGCAGUCGUACGUUUCCAAAACUACGACUGCUAUACAGGCGGGAGUACUACGAAGAUACAAGGAAAUAUUGAGUGAUGUGGAUGCAAUUUCUGUUAGCACAAAUGAGCUCCUGGAUUCUAGAGUAAAAAAUAUGCUCCAAAAUAUUUCAAACAUCGAAUUAGUGGUGGAACAAGCGAUAGCUUUCUUUGCAACGCUUUCCGAAAAUGCUCCUCAGAACAGUGAGAUAAUUAAAUUCGACAACAUAACAACUAAUUUUGGAAAUGGAUACUCCGACACAGAAGGAUUAUUUACUACUCCUAUUGAUGGAUUGUAUACUAUUCAUUGCUCAUUUCUUGUAGUCAAUGGUUAUGUAAAUGUAGAACUCAUGAGGAACGACAAUAAAAUAGGAAGAGGAUACGCAGCGGGAGGAAGACUUGAGCAUACUGGUUCCAUAUUUGUUACAACAGAUUUAAUAGAAGGCGACGAAGUAUAUUGCCGUAAACUUCCUGAUUACAGUACAGGAAUAAUUCGCGGAGAUUUAUACACCACUUUUUCUGGAUGCUUUUUAAAACGAAUUUCAUAAAAGCUUAGGAAUGCUUACCCCAUAUGUUAGAUUUUUUACUUAACAAGAUAUAUAUAUAUAUCGUGUGUACUGUAUGUCGAUGAUGUACAUAAUCACUUUAAAAAAAAGAGAUGUUUUCAUAAUAUUUCUUUGGAAUUUAUUUUAGAUUUUCUAUAUAAUCAAGAAGAGUUAUUUGUAGAGAUAAUGUACUAUCAAAUAAUCGAGAAAUAAAUAGGUUUGUUCAACAAAGGAUAUGAGGCUAUU